rnacentral:rRNA from 1 species
UGGGGAAUUGUUCGCAAUGGGCGCAAGCCUGACGACGCAACGCCGCGUGGAGGAUGAAGGUCUUCGGAUUGUAAACUCCUGUUGCCCGGGACGAAUGGCUUCAACCUAAUACGUUGGAGAUUGACGGUACCGGGUGAGGAAGCCCCGGCUAACUCUGUGCCAGCAGCCGCGGUAAUACAGAGGGGGCAAGCGUUGUUCGGAAUUACUGGGCGUAAAGGGCGCGUAGGUGGCCCGCUAAGUCGAACGUGAAACCCCCGGGCUCAACCCGGGAACUGCGUCCGAUACUGGUGGGCUCGAAUCCGGGAGAGGGAUGCGGAAUUCCAGGUGUAGCGGUGAAAUGCGUAGAUAUCUGGAGGAACACCGGUGGCGAAGGCGGCAUCCUGGACCGGUAUUGACGCUGAGGCGCGAAAGCCAGGGGAGCAA